UACGGAGGAUGCAAGCGUUAUCCGGAAUGAUUGGGCGUAAAGCGUCCGCAGGUGGCAAUGUAAGUCUGCUGUCAAAGCGUCUGGCUCAACCAGAUAAAGGCAGUGGAAACUACAUAGCUAGAGUAAGGUAGGGGUAGAGGGAAUUCCUGGUGUAGCGGUGAAAUGCGUAGAGAUCAGGAAGAACACCGGUGGCGAAGGCGCUCUACUGGACUGCAACUGACACUCAGGGACGAAAGCUAGGGGAGCGAAUGGG
rnacentral:rRNA from 1 species